rnacentral:rRNA from 1 species
AGUGAACGCUGGCGGUAGGCCUAACACAUGCAAGUCGAACGGCAGCACAGUAAGAGCUUGCUCUUACGGGUGGCGAGUGGCGGACGGGUGAGGAAUACAUCGGAAUCUACUUUUUCGUGGGGGAUAACGUAGGGAAACUUACGCUAAUACCGCAUACGACCUACGGGUGAAAGCAGGGGAUCUUCGGACCUUGCGCGAAUGAAUGAGCCGAUGUCGGAUUAGCUAGUUGGCGGGGUAAAGGCCCACCAAGGCGACGAUCCGUAGCUGGUCGGAGAGGAUGAUCAGCCACACUGGAACGGGGACACGGUCCAGACUCCUACGGGAGGCAGCAGUGGGGAAUAUUGGACAAUGGGCGCAAGCCUGAUCCAGCCAUACCGCGUGGGUGAAGAAGGCCUUCGGGUGGUAAAGCCCUUUUGUUGGGAAAGAAAAGCAGCAGGUUAAUACCCCGCUGUUCUGACGGUACCCAAAGAAUAAGCACCGGCUAACUUCGUG